AAAUGCGAUAAGUAAUGUGAAUUGCAGAAUUCAGUGAAUCAUCGAAUCUUUGAACGCACAUUGCGCCCGCUAGUAUUCUGGCGGGCAUGCCUGUUCGAGCGUCAUUUCAACCAUCAAGCCCCAGGCUUGCGUUGGGGGCCUGCGGCUGCCGCAGCCCUCUAAAAGCAGUGGCGGGCUCGCUGUCAUUCCGAGCGCAGUAGUUACAUCUCGCUCUGGGCGUGGCGGUGGGCACCUGCCAUAAAACACUCUAUCUAAGGUUGACCUCGGAUCAGGUAGGAAUACCCGCUGAACUUAAGC
rnacentral:misc_RNA from 1 species